rnacentral:rRNA from 1 species
CCAAGGCGACGAUCAGUAGGGGUUCUGAGAGGAAGGUCCCCCACAUUGGAACUGAGACACGGUCCAAACUCCUACGGGAGGCAGCAGUGAGGAGUAUUGGUCAAUGGACGAGAGUCUGAACCAGCCAAGUAGCGUGCAGGAUGACGGCCCUAUGGGUUGUAAACUGCUUUUAUAAGGGAAUAAAGUGAGUCUCGUGAGACUUUUUGCAUGUACCUUAUGAAUAAGGACCGGCUAAUUCCGUGCCAGCAGCCGCGGUAAUACGGAAGGUCCGGGCGUUAUCCGGAUUUAUUGGGUUUAAAGGGAGCGUAGGCCGGAGAUUAAGCGUGUUGUGAAAUGUAGACGCUCAACGUCUGCACUGCAGCGCGAACUGGUUUCCUUGAGUACGCACAAAGUGGGCGGAAUUCGUGGUGUAGCGGUGAAAUGCUUAGAUAUCACGAAGAACUCCGAUUGCGAAGGCAGCUCACUGGAGCGCAGCUGACGCUGAAGCUCGAAAGUGCGGGU